AAGCCUGAUGCAGCGACGCCGCGUGAGGGAUGACGGCCUUCGGGUUGUAAACCUCUUUCAGCAGGGAAGAAGGCCUUCGGGUGGACGGUACCUGCAGAAGAAGCGCCGGCUAACUACGUGCCAGCAGCCGCGGUAAUACGUAGGGCGCAAGCGUUGUCCGGAAUUAUUGGGCGUAAAGAGCUCGUAGGCGGUCUGUCGCGUCUGGUGUGAAAACCCGAGGCUCAACCUCGGGCUUGCAUCGGGUACGGGCAGACUAGAGUGCGGUAGGGGAGACUGGAAUUCCUGGUGUAGCGGUGGAAUGCGCAGAUAUCAGGAGGAACACCGAUGGCGAAGGCAGGUCUCUGGGCCGCAACUGACGCUGAGGAGCGAAAGCAUGGGGAGCGAACAGGAUUAGAUACCCUGGUAGUCCAUGCCGUAAACGUUGGGCACUAGGUGUGGGGCUCAUUCCACGAGUUCCGUGCCGCAGCUAACGCAUUAAGUGCCCCGCCUGGG
rnacentral:rRNA from 2 species